AGCACCUGGCGAAGAGUGUUUCUGAUCCCCAAAUCCAGUAUGCGUGCCGGGUUCUCGGGCAGAGUGGCCAGGCGGAACGUGACCAGGGUUCAGUGGCAGAGCCUGGAACCAGCCUGGGGGUCCUGCUUCUCAGGCCCCGGCGUGUCCUUAGGGGAAGGGGAAGGAGACUUCCCAGGGCAGGGCUGCAGCAAGAGCUGGCACAAUGCCAUCCUCAGGGGGCACAAUGCCCCCUCAAAUCCCAGAAGCAAGGGGUUUGAGGAGGGAGUAUGGGAUAUAUGGGGAGGAGCAACAUCCCUGCUGCUUGGAGGGGGAAACUGAGACCCUCACAGAUUUUUGCUGAGUGAGCUUCUGUGAGGUCCAAGAAAAAUCUUUUCCUCCCCGGCCUCUAGCUGUCAGGAGCCCGCCAUGAAAAAUAGGGGAGGGUCAUUUUCACACCCUCCCCCAUUCCAGAUGUGGCAGGAGCAGGAAGGAUUUGUGCCAGAUGUUGGGGUCUGCGGGCCCAGCAAGUUGCCUGGGGCUCUGCUAUUGAAAAGUGAACCUUAACUGGGUUGGCUGCGCUAGCGGUGAUGGCCGUGAGAUCCUGGGGGAUGUGCUCCGUGGCCCUGGUCAUGUCUGAAGGGAGAGGCAGGGAGCCCAGGCCUCACUGUCAGCAGCACCUGACUUUUGCUUCCACGGUCACCCUGGCAGAUCCUUCUCAGCCUGCUUGACUCAGGGCAUGACUUCCCUGCCUGGAUCCCAGGCUUCCUACCCUGCCCCUCGGGCCCCUGGACUUCUCCAGAGUGUUCUGGACACGAGUGGUCCAGCAGAAAUGAAGCUCCUUACCCCACUGAAAACGUCGGGUGUCUGUGCCCUGGGUGAGGAUGGCACCCAGUGUGGCCUCAUCCCCCAGAUCAGAGGCCUGGCUCUGCUGGGGUUUGUCUUUGAUUAAUAAAAAAUGGGGAAGCAAAUCAAUUAGCCCUUCACAAAUGCAACUCAGAUGGCAGGAAAAAAAAUCUCUCAUGAUGCUUGGGGGCCUCUUCUUCACAAAAAGAUGGGAACACACAGAAAGUGUUGGCCCGAGACCCCCGCCUCCCAUCCUGAUGGGAACUGCACACGUGCUUGAACAGGGAGAGGACACUGAAUAUGUACAGAUUAAAAACUUAGGGGUCGAUAUUCUGGAAGCCAAGUGGUUUCUCCAGAUGUCUGCUGGCUGUGUUGGAAUCUCUGGAACGCUGGCUAAAUGCAGAUUCCUGGGCCCUCUUGCUCUGACAUCCUGAUACGUGGAAUCCAAGGAGCCGGCUCAGGUGUCUCUCCCUCCAGGAAGUGGGGCUUGUGCCCUUUGGAUACCUGCACUCCCCAUCACCGCACUCCCCAUCGUGGCACUUCCCUUGUUGCAGUUUUAUGGAGUGUGCGUCUGGCUCUCCAACUAGACUUGAACCGCUUGAGUGCAUAACUCGGGACUUGACCAUUUGCGUCUCCCUACGGCCAGCUCAGCCUCCGCACACAGGGACCUGCAGAGAGUGGAUGUAGCCACUGCCCCAGCGUCCCUGGGCUCUGAAGAGAAGCCAUUGCCCUUCAAGAGCCACCCUCAUUUCCUGGGCACUGGUUGGAAAAAACGAAGAAAAAGAGACACCCAGCUCACCUCCAAGUUUGCCUGCAGGUGAAUAUCUUGUUGAAAGAGAGGGGACUCCCUGAGUCUUGCUGGGUUGAGGAAGCUGAUUGGAUUUCCGGACUCAGAGGAGGGCUGCAGAGAGGGAGGAAUGGGGGGGAUGGGCAGCUGGCUUUCUGGAUGGGUGCAGGACAAUGACAUUGAUGGGGAAGCUUGGGGUGGCUCUGCCGUUGCCCACUGCUUGGCUGGUGAACUUGCUACAUCUUGGCCAGCACUAUCCUCUUCUGGCCUGCACCCUGCCAGACACAGGCAGUACCCCAAAUACCCUGUCCCUGUGCCCCGAAGUCUCCAUGACCUUCAGAUCCCAAGGGACAAGUGGCUCCACGAGGCAGGGCCUGUCCCUCUGGCUCACACUAUGGAGUCCACAGAACCUAGCCCGGAGCCUAGUGCACAGUAGGUGCUCAAUGUAUUCUAUUUGAAUGUUGCAUGAGUGAAUAAAUGCAGGAAUGUCAGGCUGGAAAACAGGUAUUUGUACACCUGUUUUCAUAGCAGUGUUAUUCACAGUAGUCAAAGGGUGGAAGCAUCCCACGUGUCUGCUGAUGGGUGAACGAGUAAACAGAAUGUGCCCCAGCCAUACAAUGGAAUGCGAUUCAGCCUUUUUUUUUUGAGACGGAGUCUGGCUCUGUCACCCAGGCUGGAG
rnacentral:lncRNA from 1 species